rnacentral:rRNA from 1 species
CAGCCGUAAACUAUGCGCGUUAGGUGUACUGGUGACCACGAGUCACCGGGGUGCCGAAGGGAAACCGUGAAACGUGCCGCCUGGGAAGUACGGUCGCAAGGCUGAAACUUAAAGGAAUUGGCGGGGGGAGGCACCACAACGGGUGGGAGCCUGCGGGUUUAAUUUGGACUCAACGCCGGAAAUCUCACCGGAUAGGACAGACAUAUGAUAGUCGGGCUGAAGACUCUACUUGAUGAUCUGAGAGGUGGUGCAUGGCGUCAGUGACU